rnacentral:tRNA from 1 species
AGGGAUAUAGCUCAGUUGGUAGAGUGCUUGCCUCAAAUGCAUAAGGCCCUGGGUUCAAUCCCCAGUACCCCCC